AUGAUAAUACAAUACAUAUAUAUAAAGGAACAUACGAAGCAAAUAAUGAUUAUGCUAUGUCUAGAAAUAUGACCACAGAAAAUGCAUUGUUAGGUAGUACUAGCAGUAAUAAUAAUAAUAAUAAUAAUAAUAAUAAUAAUAACAAUGGUAAUGUAUUUUUAGAAAAUAUAAACUAUGUUAACUAUAACCAUGGAAACUGUGAAAAUGCAGCUACUAGUACAAAUAAAGAGAAUAAUAGUUUUAUUAGUAAUGGUGGUGUUAUCACUAACACAUGUAGCUACGAGAACAAUAUACUUUUGAAUAAUAUCAAAAUGAAUAGUUACAAUUUAGCACUUAGUAGUAAUCAUGAACUGAAUAAGCAGAUGUAUAAUAAUAUCAAUAAUAAUAAUAGCAUUAGCAAUAACAAUAACAAUAAUUAUAAUAAUAAUAAUAAUAAUAACUACUGUUAUAUAUCGAAUAAAUGUAAUACUAAUAGUAACUUCCAAAUGGGGGCGCAAAAAAUAGUGAAUGAUAAAUGUAUUGCAGGUCAGUGUGAUAUGGAGCAGGAUGGAAUAAUCGAAUAUGAUAAAAAAGUAAUAGACGUAAUGAAUAUGAGUUAUACUGCUAAUAAUGGUAGUAGUGGUAGUGUUAAUGGUAGUAGUGGUAGUGUUAAUGGUAGUAGCGGUAGUGUUAAUGGUAGUAGUGGUAGUGUUAAUGGUAGUAGUGGUUAUGGUAAUGGUAGUAGUGGUUAUGGUAAUGNNNNNNNNNNUGGUAGUAGUGGUUAUGGUAAUGGUAGUAGUGGUUAUGGUAAUGGUAAGAGUAAGAGUAACAAUAUUAUUAUUAAUGGUAGUAAUAAUAUCAACUAUGAUUUAGUUAAUAUGAACAAUUAUGCCACUAACAUCGAUAACAACGACAUGAACGAUAACAACGGGAGUAGCGAUGUUUCCAAUUAUAAUAAUAAAAAAAACGUAAACCUUAAUUUAAUGAAUAAUAUAAAUAGCUUACAUACCAAUUACAAUAAAAGUGUUAUACCUAAUGGUGCCAACGCGAAAAUUAAUUUUAAAGGAUUAAAUAAAAAUAACAGUUUAUUAAAUGGAUCAUUAAAUAGACCGUUGAAUAGCAGUAUGGUGCAGGAAGUAGAUAGUAAUGCUAGUAACAUUAGUGGUUGCAAUGAUAAUAUUAAUAUUGGUGUUAAUAAAAAUUUAAACAAUGUUAAUAGUUUGGAACAAAACGCGCAUAUAAUAAGAAAGCAAAAUAAUUUUAAAGAUAAUAAAAAUGAUAACGUAAGUGGUAAUAACGUAAGUGGUAAUAACGUAAGUGGUAAUAACGUAAGUGGUAAUAACGUAAGUGGUAGUAACGUAAGUGGUAAUAACGUAAGUGGUAGUAACGUAAGUGGUAGUAACGUAAGUGGUAAUAACGUAAGUGGUAGUAACAUAAGUGGUAAUAACGUAAGCGGUAGUAACAUAAGUGGUAAUAACGUAAGCGGUAGUAACAUAAGUGGUAACAAAAAUAACCACUUAAAUAACACAUCUAUUACAAGCACAAAUACAUGUAUGAAAGCAACACACCCACCACCUCCACCUUCACCUUCACCUUCCCCUCCACCCCCAACAGUCAUAAACACAAACAAUACAUCCAAAAUUAAUAAUGAUGGUAGUGGAAAUAGAUACAAUAACGAGAGUAAUAGUAGUAACAUAAUUAGCAGUAAAAAUGUAUUAACAAAACAAAUAAACUACAAAACAGAAAAUAAUAACAAUAAUAACAAUAAUAACAACAAUAAUAAUAAUAAUAAUAAUAAUUAUACGAAUAGUGACAUAAAUUCAGUCACUAGUAGUGCUAUCGAUAUCAAUACGAGCGUUAAUACUAGUACUACUAUCAAUCCCAAUGUAAACAACAUUGACAUCACAUUAAAUAACAAUGAAACAAACACAAACCAUAAUAUGAGUGUUGCUUAUCAUAACAAUUACUAUCCCAACACUAUAAGUAAUAAAAACUCAAACUUAGGUGAAUGUAAUAUGAAUGAUAGUGGAAAUAUAAGUUAUAUUACUUAUAUAAAUAAUUCAAAUUUUAUAAACAAUAUUAAUAGAAUUAAUAUGAACGAAAUGGAAUAUAGUGGAUAUAAUUCGAAUGCUAAUGUAAGUGAACAAAUGCACUAUUAUGUUGAAAAGAAUAGUACCAUAUUAAACAGUCAUACUAAUACCAAAGUAAUAAAACAAACAUUAAAUAGUGCUGAUACUACUACUGCUGAUGUUAUAAGUUACAAUAGUACAUAUAACAUAAAUAAUACAAAUAAUUUGGUAAAAAAUAACAGAACGGUUGUACGUUGUUUUGCUCUACCCAAUUUAAAUAAUAGAGGUAGUAAAAGUAUAAAUAUAAAAAACGACCAAUGUAGUAAUAUUAAUAGUAAUGACGAAUGUUGUAGUAACAACGAUGAUCUGAAGGAUUUGGUUAUUAAUAAUGAUAAUAAAGAUAACAACAAAAAUGGUAACAAUAAUAUAGAAACUGAUAGUAUAACAAAUACGACUAACACAAACAUGAACACAAAUAUUAAUAAGAAUGGAAAGAAUAAAAAUAAGAGUGGCAAUAAAAUUACAAAAAAUAAUAAAAAUAAGCAAAAAAAUGCUAUUGACAAUUCUGAUAGUGUUGAUAAUUGUAGCAAUGGUAGUACCAGGGGUAAUAGUAGUAACAACAAAACGAAUAGCACUAACGAAGUGUAUAAUGAAAAUAUUGUUGGUGGCACUAACAAAAAUAAUACUAAUACCAACAGAAAACAUAAUGACCAUAAUAUUGAUAGUACAAAUGAAAAAAGUAGUUAUAAGAGUAGUGAAGUAGUAGAUAAUGGUGGUAAGAUAGUAGACAAUUGUAAUGGAGGCACUAUUAUUUGUGGUAGUAAUAAUAAUAACAACACUUUGUUUAAUAAAAAAAAUAAUAAUAAUUGGAAUUACAACAACUCUUUGAAUGAAAUAGCAGAGGUGGGAAUGAAAGCAGAAGAAGAGGUAGAAGAAGAGGUAGAAGCAGGAGUUGAACCAGAAAUAGAACCAGAAAUAGAACCAGAAAUAGAACCAGAAAUAGAACCAGAAAUAGAACCAGAAAUAGAACCAGAAAUAGAACCAGAAUUAGAACCAGAAGCAGAAGCAGAAGCAGAAGCAGAAGCAGAAGCAGAACCAGAAGUAGAAGCAGAAGCAGAACCAGAACCAGAACUAGAAGCAGAAACAGAAACAGAAGCAAAGGAAGGAAACUGGAUUAUAAAAAAUACAAAUCAACAAUUAGGUAAUGAUGAAAAAGAAAAUGGUAUUAUAGAUAUAAAUAGCGAUGGUAAUAACAAUAGUAACAAUGCUUAUACAAAGUGCAUUUUAAAUAAUUCAAAUUAUUUUAAAGUAGAUAAUAUGAAAACGUGUAAAAGAGGUUAUGGUUAUUGGAAAAAUGGAACUUAUCAAUUAUUAUUAAAAGGCAAUUAUCAUCAACAUCCUUCAUCUACUAUUCCUAAUACACCAACUAUAAUUGCAACCGCAUCUUCUACUGUUUCAAGCAAUGUCGUUACCAAUAGCAAUGUCAAUGCCAAUUUACAUGUGAACGAAGUUAUGAAUUGCAGCGGAAUAAAUAAUGAUGUAUUAAAUUCAAACAAUAUUCACAAUAUUAGAUCCGGUACAAAUAAUUUAAAUAGCACACAUAAUAUAAACAAUAUAAAUAAUGUGAAUAAUGUGAUUAAUGCGAAUAAUGUGAAUAAUGUGAAUAAUGUGAAUAAUAUAAAUAGUAUGAAUAAUAUAAAUAAUAUAAAUAGUAUGAAUAAUAUUAAUAACGACAUAGAUAGUAAUAAUAAUAUGGAAAAAAACUAUCGUGCUUGUAUGAAAUCCGUUAAGAACUUCAACAAUUAUACAAAUAUUAUAAUACAAAAUAAAUUGAUGAAUCUAAAUAUGAUAGACAUAAAUAAAAUGAAUAACAAUAUUCCCAGUGCGCGUAAAAGCAACAUGAGCACAAUUGCCAGUGGUAACAACAACAUGAAUAAUAAUAGUAAUAAUAAUAGUAAUAAUAAUAAUAAUAAUGUAGGCAUUAGCAAUAAUUACAACACGAUUGGAGAUAAUAACAACUCCGGUAAAAUCAACUGCAGCAACAUGAGCUAUAAUCCAAACAACAUAAAUGAAAAUGUAAAUAUGAACAUGAAUAUGAAUAUGAACAUGAACAUGAAUAUGAGCAUGAACAUGAAUAUGAACAUGAAUGGUGCUCAUAAUUUCGUCCAUAAAAAAGGUAAUAAUAUAGAUAAUUUCAAUUUAACAAAUAAUAUGAAUAUGCUUAUGAAUAACUUUUAUGUUAAUAAUGAUAACUCAUUUAAUAAAAUAAAUACAAACCAUAACAACAAAAUAAAUAAUAAUAUAAAUAAUAAUAUAAAUAAUAAUAUAAAUAAUAAUAUAAAUAAUAAGAAUAAUACCCAUAACCCUUAUUUUAAUAAUAAAAAUGAAGUAAAUGUAGCUACUGUAAUGACGAAUAACCAAUUUUAUAAUACUUCUUAUGUUGAUAGCUAUAGUGAUAAUUAUAUUGAUAACAGUACAAACCAUUAUGGUAAUAAUUAUGUAAAUAAUUACACAAAUAAAAUAAAUAACAAAUCGUUUAACUUAAAAAAUAAUAAUGUGCCUAUUAUGUCUAUGUAUGAUGAGAAAAAAGAAGAUGCCGGAAUAUAUUAUGGUUAUAAUGAAAAUAAUUUUACAAAUAAAAACAUGUAUGCAGAAAAAUGUCAUUAUUUGGAAGAAUCACAAGACAAUAACAUCUAUGCUACAUAUCCGCCUAAUUAUGAUAUUAAAAAUAAGGACAAAAUUUUUUUUUACGAUUCAUAAAGAAAAUUAAGAUACCUGCACGUACAUAAAGCAUAUGGAGUUAUAUAUGAAAUUUUUAGGAAUCGCUAGAAACGCAAAUACACAUGUAACAGCACAAUAAAGUACAUUACAUCGUUUGUCUGUAUUUCUGG
ensembl:lncRNA